GUAAGAUUUUAUUUCUCAAAAUAAAAUCCCCCAAGCUGGUCCUUCCCAUUUACAUUGCCCUGACAUUCUAAUGCCAUUUCGUCUGCUUAAGAAUCUUUUCUUCCCUGCCAGACAAUAUCUUACUCAUGUUUUAGUAUCAAGAUUAAAUAUCUAUUCCUCUGGAAAGGCUUUCUAGCAUUUCUUCCAUCGGACAGUGCUCCCCUCCCCCAGGACAAAUCUCUCUCUCUGCAGAGUCCCCAUGACUCAUGAAUGUAUUCAAUUAUAAGCUGUUAGUAACUAGAUUAUAAUUUUUGCUUGGAGAUUGAAUCAACUUUUAUAGAUGAUAAAUUCCUUAAAGAUAAAGAUCAUUUUCACUUAGUUAUCUAUAGGUCCCUGAAUGCCUGGAACAGUCCCUGGCGGAGUAAAUACUUCAUAUUUGGCAAGAAUACCUGGCGCUUGUUUUCCAGAAGAGCUGCUUCCCAAGUCCACGUGUCAUACAGCACAGCAAAUCUGUCCACAUCUGCAUGGGCCCAUCCCCACUCCUGGCCACUCUUUGGCUGGCUGCCCACUUUGUGACCUGGGAGAAAAGAGGGCUUUCCCAGAAGGCAGCACCUGCUCCUCAGUCAAAGCACCUGCCUCGCACCCCUCCGGCCCCCUCAAGCCCACGAUCUGCCUCUGAGUGUUGCACUAGGAUUUUUAUCGCUUAAAGUGUCUUAAUUCUUUGUUCCCUGACACACAAG
rnacentral:lncRNA from 10 species